ACCUUCGCCGCGCCCUCUUCUCUCAUUGGCACUGCCUGUCUACUGCCGAGGGCAUUUGAGUGUGGGACCCAUGCCCUGCAUUUCUUCGCUACCCCACAGCUUCUGCUCAUCAAUCCAGCUCAAAUGUCAGAAGAAUUGACGUUAGUUUGAGAGACCAAACUAAGUUACAGCCUCUCUGGUUUCUGUUACUCUGGUAGCCUCAAAAUCAAGUGACAAGUGUCUUUGUAAGGGACAAGUAGACACAUUACAGAGAAGACGCGCAGAAAAGGAGGAAGCAGUGUGCUCAUGGAGGCAGAGAUUGGAGUGAUGUAACCGCAAGCCAAGGAAUGCUUAUAGUCACCAGAAGCUGGAAGAGUCAAAGGACACAUUCUCCCCUCGAGCCCCAGUGGGAGCACGGCCCAGCUGGAUUUUGGACUUCUGGCCUCCAGAACUAGACAGGGCCUCACUGUGUCACCCAGGGUGGAAUACAGUGGUGUGAUCAUAGCUCACUGCAGCCUGGAAUUCCUGGGCUCAAGCAACCCUGCCACCUCAGCCUCCCAAG
rnacentral:sRNA from 1 species